AGCGGCGAGCGAAGCGGGAAGAGCUCAAAUUUAUAAUCUGGCACCUUCGGUGUCCGAGUUGUAAUCUCUAGAAGUGUUUUCCGCGUUGGACCGCACACAAGUCUGUUGGAAUACAGCGGCAUAGUGGUGAGACCCCCGUAUAUGGUGCGGACGCCCAACGCUUUGUGAUACACUUUCGAAGAGUCGAGUUGUUUGGGAAUGCAGCUCAAAUUGGGUGGUAAAUUCCAUCUAAAGCUAAAUAUUGGCGAGAGACCGAUAGCGAACAAGUACCGUGAGGGAAAGAUGAAAAGCACUUUGGAAAGAGAGUUAACAGUACGUGAAAUUGUUGGAAGGGAAACGCUUGAAGUCAGACUUGCUUGCCGAGCAAUCGGUUUGCAGGCCAGCAUCAGUUUUCCGGGGUGGAUAAUGGUAGAGAGAAGGUAGCAGUUUCGGCUGUGUUAUAGCUCUUUGCUGGAUACACCUUGGGGGACUGAGGAACGCAGUGUGCCUUACGGCGGAUUUCUCGAGAUCUUCACACUUAGGAUGCUGGUGGAAUGGCUUUAAACGACCCG
rnacentral:rRNA from 1 species